CCUCUCCUUACUCAUGCUCUCUCUCUCUGAAAUCAAUAAGUAAAAUCUUAAGAAGAAGAAGAGGAAGAAAGAAAGGAAGAGAAAGAUGAAGUGGGAGGCAGGUAGACCAGCCAACAGAGCCGUUACUGGUUGUGCGGGUGCGGGAGGAGAGGGGCAGAGCAGUGGGGCUGAGCCCUGGGACUAGAGAAUUAAGUCCCUCUGGUGAUAUCUAACCCUUUGUGCUUCCUUGGAAGGUUUUCAGAAAAGACCUACUGUGUUACUUUCCAAGCUGUGUUAGAAUCCUGAGCUUUGGGGUGCUCUCAUAGACCUUGAGGUGACCCAAUGCAUUUGGGUUCCAUUUGCAAAAUGUCAGUCUCGUUGUAGGGCUCAACAAAUGCUCCCACUUACUACUCUGGAAGAAGACAGACCCGGCAGCUGGGCAUCUCUGAAGAGCAGACAGAACACUUUCUGGAGAUGCCAGGACCCUGGGCUAGCUUAUUUGGGGUUUAUGAAACUGCCGUUCAUCACUGUGUAUACCUUUCAUAAUUAGAAAAAAAAA